UGGAAAAUGCCCUGUGAUGAUAGGCCCAGUG
rnacentral:piRNA from 1 species